AUUGUCCUACGGGGCGCAGCAGUGAGGAAUAUUGGUCAAUGAGCUUACGCCUGAACCAGCCAAGUCGCGUGAGGGAAGACUGCCCUAUGGGUUGUAAACCUCUUUUGUCAGGGAGCAACGCCGGCUACGUGUAGCCGGACUGAGAGUACCUGAAGAAAAAGCAUCGGCUAACUCCGUGCCAGCAGCCGCGGUAAUACGGAGGAUGCGAGCGUUAUCCGGAAUGAUUGGGCGUAAAGGGUGCGUAGGCGGCCUGCUAAGUCUGGAGUGAAAGGAACCGGCUCAACCGGUACA
rnacentral:rRNA from 1 species